rnacentral:rRNA from 1 species
AACGAACGCUGGCGGCAUGCCUAACACAUGCAAGUCGAACGAUACCUUCGGGUCUAGUCGCGCACGGGUGCGUAACGCGUGGGAACCUGCCCUUAGGUUCGGAAUAACUCCCCGAAGGGGGUGCUAAUACCGGAGAAUGUCUUCGGACCAAAGAUUUAUCGCCUUUGUAUGGGCCGGCGUUGGAUUAGCUAGUUGGUAGGGUAAACGCGUCCCAAGGCGACGAUCCAUAGCUGGUCAGAGAGGAUGAGCAGCCACACUGGGGGUGAGACACGGCCGAGAAUACUGCGGGAGGGAGCAGAGGGGAAUAUUGGACAACGGGGGAAAGCAUGAACGAGCAAGGCUGGGUGAGUGAUGAAGGCGUUAGGGAUGUAAAGCUGGUUAAUCCGGGAGGAUAAUGACAGUACCGGGAGAAGAAGCACCGGCUAACUCCGUG